CCRACAGGCUCACGAAAYAUCAUCWACUGUUCGCCAGAGAACUACAAACGAAAAGCUUAAAACUCUAAGGACUUGGCGGUGCUUCAAAUCAACCUAGAGGAGCCUGUCCUAUAAUCGAUACCCCACGAUCCACCUUACCUCUCCUAGCCAAGCAGCCUAUAUACCGCCGUCGUCAGCCUACCUUAUGAAAGAAACAAAGUAGGCAAAAAAGUUAAUGACUAAUACGUCAGGUCAAGGUGUAGCACACGAAGAGGCAGAGAUGGGCUACAUUUUCCCAAAGUGAAAAUACGAAUGGUGAACUGAAACAAACACCUGAAGGCGGAUUUAGCAGUAAAACAACCAAGAAUAGCUAUUUUAAACCUGCUCUGAAGCGCGCACACACCGCCCGU
rnacentral:rRNA from 1 species